UACGUAGGUGACAAGCGUUGUCCGGAUUUACUGGGCGUAAAGUGUGCGCAGGCGGCCGCGCAAGUCGAGUGUGAAAGCCCCGAGCUUAACUUGGGAAUUGCGCUCGAAACUACGUGGCUGGAGUGUGGCAGAGGAAGGUGGAAUUCCACGUGUAGCGGUGAAAUGCGUAGAGAUGUGGAGGAACACCGAUGGCGAAGGCAGCCUUCUGGGCCAACACUGACGCUCAUGCACGAAAGCGUGGGGAGCAAACAGG
rnacentral:rRNA from 1 species